UGAUGCUAGGCAUCAGGAAUCAUAGCGAUGUCUGCAGUCUCGGUUUGCCCUCUGUUCUGCAACAUGCAAAUUUGGACUGCUCCUCUUCAUCUCCCAGUGCUGGUCCACUGGUUCUCUGGUUUUAUGAAAAGAUGUCACCGGAAGCGUCAUGGUUAUUUCUGAAGCUCACCAUUUUCUUGGCUUUCAUGGGGUUUGAUGUAAAUCUGGAAAUGGCUAUAUGGCAACAUCUGUUUGCCAAAAAAUGAAUUAUUUGCGGCUUGGGGAGGAGUGCCGUGUUUACGAGGUAAAAGGCUGAAGUGAAAGCGCCGCUGGGACUGCUACCGGUGCAUGGAACUUCCAUGGCAGCACGGGCGAUUCCAAGGCCCACUUGAGCUCCUCCUGCUGAUGUCAGACUGUGAGUUCUUACCGGAAAUACACAUAUUUUGAUCCUUUUCUCACAUUUGAUGCCACUUUCAGACUAAGAUGUAGCAGAACACAUGUUCGUAAUUGAUACACCUAGGCUCAGCUUCUCUAUAUUGAUAUGAAGGCGUGGAGCGUGUUUCUUUUGUUUUCAACUCGAGGCGACCAGAGAGCUUGGCUGCGCAAGAGGUGUUGUCUUCUACCACGAAACUCCGGGCAACAAGAACUUCACGAAGAAAAGGACACCUAGGUUUUGGCACGAACUAUUUUGUGCCGGUGUGAAGUGGGGUCUGUAUGCGGACAUCGAGUCAUUCCUCAGAUUUGGUACGAAGCACAUGACAUGUAACUUCAAGAAGACGAACUAUGAAGAGGCGGGUCGCCCUCUGACUGUGUCGGUAAAGAAGGCCAUUCUGCAGGCCAGUCUCGCAAUUAAUAAGGACAUACUUUUAGCAGGUCAUGCUGGGAAUUAAUAAAGUUAUGCUUGUUGAAAGUGAGAGCUCGGUGUCGUGUCCGCCGGCUGAGCGGCAAGCUGGAGCUGCAGGUCGCUGAACAAGGUGGUCUUACUGUGAGGAUCUCAUCUCUCACUCUAUGUGUGUAUCUCUUAGCCCCGUUCCCGUUUAUGGUAAUCAUUCAUGCAUGUAGGGAUCACUAAGAUUUUUCUUGGUUUUGUAGUUGUGGAUUGCUGUGAUUGUUACUGCAAUAGUGGAUCAUAUAUAUACACUUGGCAACUCAGUUUAGGAUAUCGCUUGGUAAAUGUUGAUUGUUACUGCAAUGGUGGAUCAUAUAUAUACACUUGGCAACUCUGUUUAGGAUAUCGCUGGUAAAUGGUGAUUGUUACUGCAAUAGUGGAUCAUAUAUAUACACCAUAUAUAUACUAAUUGUUGAUUGUUUCUUCCAUUUGGUGGCAACCUUGCUGUUCCGUGCACUAUUGGCUGUUGUUUUUACUGUUCGGUUCAUGAGGGUAAAGCACGCUAUGCAUUAUUCACUCUUAAUUGUUUUCUGUUCAUCCAUGUUAUUCUUUGUUCAUCAUAUGUACCUCUGUUUGAGGCUGUCGCGGCCUACUGUCGAUUGCCAUUUCAUUUUUACCUUCGAGAGGUGGUUGCUGAUGGUUCUGUCAUUGGAGGAGUUGAGAUAGAUGAUUUUGUUAGUAAUCGCGUUGUCCGGUCUAGGACACGAUUUAUCUGGGAAGAAACUUUGGACGGGGGUUGUUCUUUGUUUGAUCAAGCCGUUUUCAGGCGGUGCGCUUCUUACAUGGACUGUACGGAUUUGUCGUUGUAGACUACAACUACGAGAGCAUGUUAGCUUAUAGGGAUGUUGCCCAGUCGGCUACGAUGGUUGCGAGUGCGCUUGCCCGCUCCGCCUGGCAUGCGGUGGAUGCCGGUUGACAGGGAAGUGUCGAAGGCAUCAAUGUGAGUGCUCCUCUGCAAUUACUUUAUUCAGAGUUAGUCAACUUUGCGUGUAAGUUCUUGGUCCCUUCUAGACCUGUCUUAGAUAAGGUGUGUCCAAGUCAUUGCACUAUGCCUCUGGGCGCCUCUUGUUAUAAACACUUGCGCCUGUUAAUGGAUGCUUGCUAAUUUAUUUCAUUCUGGUAUGACCAGAGCUCCUGUUUUUUGUGCCCAUUGUCUUUCUUAGGGAUUCUAAAGCCACAAGGAUGCAAAAUCAAUCAGAUGAUCAUUUUAUUCACACUGACGAUGAUAAUUCCUUCUAAACUAUAAGAUCCAUGUCUAUCUUCAUGAGCGAGCUAUCUUAACUCCAACCAUUUAUGUGGCUGUCAAAGUCAAUAUUUUUAUCCUGUCAUUGGUACUCUGCAUAGACGAGAGUAUUUGAGUUGUCAUUCAAUGGCUAAGUCCGAUGAUGAUGUUAAAAGAAAGCACUGUGUUACAUCCACCUGAGUUCUGAAUGCUAUUUCUAUAAUCAAUUUUCUUGAACAUAAAAUAUUCUUAUCAUCAGAGAGCUUGCCGAUUGUACAUUCAAGCUAUUAUUAUGAUGUGUUCUCCUAUAGGAGAGGUUGUUUGCAUACCAGAUAUAAUUGAUGCUUUAGAAAACCAAAUGGUCUUUCACUUUGAAAAGACGACAAUUUCCUGUCCGACUAUGUUAUUCCAUGACAAUAAAUAUGAACCAGGGCUAGACAUUGUCCUUUGUUGGAAUUUAUAUCUAAAAUAUCAUGUUCUAUCCAUGGACAGUUGUAUGUUGUAGUGUCGCUGGUCAUAUCGAAAAAAUCCCUAAAAUUACUUAUGAAAGAUAAAGAUGGAAAAUGUAUGGAGACUCAGAACAUUUUCCCCCAAGGUUUAUGCCUCAACUACCCCCUUUUAAGUUUAUCGACAUGGCCCUAUAAUAAUUAGUAGUAGCCUGCGUUGUAUUCUCUUUAACAGUAUAUCCUCAGAUCCAUAAUUUCUUUUUUUUUCUUUUCUCUUUGGCUACUGAAUUUUAUUGCUAUUCUUCUGCACAUAUAUGUGAUGUGGUAAAUUCUUUCUAUUCAUGUUUUAAUAAAUUAUUUUAGGAUAGUUCUUGUUUUAUUGUUAUUCUCUAUGAUCAUUAGAUUUCCAUUGUGCAUUGCUAUCCUCUGUCAUUAGAUAGUGUCUUGUAGCCUGUUUUCCUGAUGUUUAUUUGAAUAUGUUUUCUUUUAUCCACAGAUGAAGCCCAUCCAUUUGUCCGUUCUUCGUCAGGGUCACAGAGUCUUUGUGCCAGGAUUCUUCCCUUUGUAAAUAUGAAAGCGGCUUGUACGAUCUACUCACAGACUUGCUCUGCUGCUUUGUAGCCCAACUGAUUAUGUACUCUUGAUCGUCCUCAUGGCAUCUGUCAACUCCAUUGUGAAUUAUCUCUUUAUCUUAAGGCUGUACUCGCUAUGCUAGAAUGAUAGAUGAUAUAAGUAAAUACAUCUUUUCUUUUUACAAGGUUCAGAUCAUAAGGUAUCAUGUCCUGUGAACCAAGUUCAGUACGUUGUCUAUUAAAUAUAUUCUUGUUUCUUGUUCAGAAUGUGAUGCUCCAGUUCAGAUAAUGAGUAGUGCAUAUUUUGGCUGAUA